AGCACAGCCACCACCAAGUUGCUAUCAGACAUCUCCCAGAUCACUGUAAUAUAUUCAGCUUAAAUUUUAAUAGUUUCUCUUUCCACAUUAGUAUAUCUGGUCUGAGGUUCGUUCAGAUAUCCACUGACCAGAAAGGUCACACUCAGGCCUGUUGGGAUUGUUGAGUCACCAACUCCACAUAGCUUGAUAAUCCUAAGAGAGUAUCUAAACAGUGUGAUGAGGCAUCUCCAGCAUCAGUGUAUUUCAGCAGAGAGCUUUCCUUGAAUGAAUUCAUCCAGUCCUCCCCACUGAGAAACAUCACGUUAUCUGUCCCAGCCUGGAGCCUGUAGUAAUUUAGCUGCCAUCUCAAAGGCAUUCAGGACUCACAGUUCACAGCUAGCACAGCCAGCUUAUCCCAGGGGGUUUAGUAAAACCCAAGGCCAUAGCUUUAGGCAGUCUUUGGUUAUAUUCAGCCUGGAGAGAAAGGAGAUAUUGGAUAUUCCUGUGAAGGACACAGUUUUCUGAGAUGAAAAUGAACAGUACAGAUACAACAGCUUGGAAGUAAAGAAUAAGAAAGCUUGUUUCACCAUGUGGCUGCAACAAGUUCAGCUUUUUAGCUUAAAGAAAGAAUGUGCUUUUGACCCUCCCUAUUGUUCCCAUUCUCCAUACUUGGCUAUGCCAGAGCAUAAAAUCCUCUCAGAGUGCAAGAGGCAGAUCCCUUAAUUUGAAAAUAAGGUGAAAGAUAUUCUCCAGGCCAGCAACUAUUUUGCUCCAACAGUUAAAAAGCAUCUUAUCCUGAGGAUCAAGUUAGAGUUGUUCUAAAAACCACGCAAAGAAUCCAGGAUGGCUAUUAGGUCCUUAACACAAAUGGUUUUUUUCCAACUACAAUCAUCAAUAGGAUAAUCUGGUACUCUUGUUGCACCACCUCACUUGCAAAUGCAGACAUAGGCAGAAGCUGUCUAUGUCUCUAAGAAGCACAUACAAAUGUUCAAGUUCAUUGCCUCUACAUGACAGUUUGUCUUUCAGAACAUCAAUGAUUUCUCCAGUAUCUAUGAAUCUGGGGAUUGUUCUUCAGUGCAUAAAUUGCAGUAAGAAGAUGUAUGUGAAAUUUCUAUCAUCAAGGAUCCUUAAAAAACUCUCUGAAAACAAGGUGAAUAUAUCUGGAAAAUGCUUCUUGGAGCUAUAUGCAGCCCCUGGCACAGUGAUGCCUCUGUGACAAAGGGUGAGGAAACAGGCAAGAAGACAAGUUGGUGGAGGAACCAGGACCAGAUCCAGCUUUCCGGAAGCCAACUCCAGAUGUUUCGACCAGAGCAUGAUGUGUGGUUCAUUCUUGACCCACAUACUGCUGGGUGCUGCAACUAAAUGAACAAUAAUAAUAAUAAUCAAAAGUGACACAACUAUAAGAUGACUUUUUA
rnacentral:lncRNA from 1 species